rnacentral:rRNA from 1 species
GACGAACGCUGGCGGCGUGCUUAACACAUGCAAGUCGAACGAUGAACCCGGAGCUUGCUCCGGUGGAUUAGUGGCGAACGGGUGAGUAACACGUGAGUAACCUGCCCUUGACUCUGGGAUAACUGCGGGAAACUGUAGCUGAUACCGGAUACGACCCUCGGCGGCAUCGCCAGGGGGUGGAAAGAAUUUCGGUCAAGGAUGGACUCGCGGCCUAUCAGCUAGUUGGUGAGGUAACGGCUCACCAAGGCGACGACGGGUAGCCGGCCUGAGAGGGUGACCGGCCACACGGGGACGGAGACACGGCACAGACGUCUACGGGAGGCAGCAGAGGGGAAUAUUGCACAAUGGGCGCAAGCCUGAUGCAGCAACGCCGCGGGAGGGAUGACGGCCUUCGGGUUGUAAACCUCUUUUAAUAGGGAAGAAGCGAAAGUGACGGUACCUGCAGAAAAAGCACCGGCUAACUACGUGCCAGCCGCCGCGGUAA